AAGACUUCUUUUGGAGGCCGUCUCAAUAAAUAUAAUAAUUUAAAGAUUUCUUCCUUUUCAACUAAACAAUGUUACCUCUUUGCCUUGUAAAACAGUACUGACACAGACAAUCAUCUUUUGCCUCCACAUUAGUUUUCAAGAUCACAUUGGAAGUAGCAUGGGCAGGGUUGCUGACAGAUAGACUGAAAAUGACCAGAAUUAGUCCACAAACAGAAGUAUCAUGCCACACAAAUGGGAGAUUUUUUGCAGCAUCACGGAGUGAAGCUGGACUGAUUCAGGUUCCCGGUUGCUAUAGUGACAGAUUUCCCAGUCCUUGCCAUAUGUCAGCCCUUCAAUGUUGCUUCCUCUCUCCUCCCUGCUUCAGCCAAAAGCUUGGCUAAAGCUGCCUGCUGUACAUGCGGGAUCACGCAGUCACCACACAUGCACACGCUGUGAAUACAGACCCACAGGCCCCAGGCCAGAUGACAGCGCAGUACCUGCAGCACGCUGAACGCCUCCCAGUCUGUGAGCUUUCCAUAGCCACGGGUACUACAAAUAUCAGGAGUCAUUCUUGCCCACGGAAAGCUGAGUACCAGCCACAGGUGACGAAAUCCACUUAUCCAGGCAGCAGCAGAGCAGCGGUUCCAGCAGCACCUGCCCCACAGAGCCACAGCUCCAACCCCAGUAGGCACAUGAAAGACAUGAAGAAAAUUCAAGACCAGGGCUUGAAUGAACAACAAGAGAUAAGCGUGUGAGGAAGAACGGCGCCUCCCCCAGCCAUACUGAACAGCUCUGGGCCAGGAGACAUCACUCAUGGCAUCACCACCACCAGCUACAGGCACAUUCAACUCUUUCCUGGAAAUUGGUCACACAGACAAAGGGGAUACCAACAAUAAAUUACAGCCAUUUGUAAGACA
rnacentral:lncRNA from 1 species